GAUGAACGCUGGCGGCGUGCCUAAUACAUGCAAGUCGAGCGAACAGACGAGGAGCUUGCUCCUCUGACGUUAGCGGCGGACGGGUGAGUAACACGUGGAUAACCUACCUAUAAGACUGGGAUAACUUCGGGAAACCGGAGCUAAUACCGGAUAAUAUAUUGAACCGCAUGGUUCAAUAGUGAAAUACGGUUUUGCUGUCACUUAUAGAUGGAUCCGCGCCGCAUUAGAUAGUUGGUAAGGUAACGGCUUACCAAGGCAACGAUGCGUAGCCGACCUGAGAGAGUGAUCGGCCACACUGGAGCUGAGACACGGUCCAGACUCCUACGGGAGGCAGCAGUAGGGAAUCUUCCGCAAUGGGCGGAAGCCUGACGGAGCAACGCCGCGUGAGUGAUGAAGGUCUUCGGAUCGGAAAACUCUGUUAUUAGUGAAGAACAAAUGUGUAAGUAACUAUGCACGUCUUGACGGUACCUAAUCAGAAAGCCACGGCUAACUACGUG
rnacentral:rRNA from 1 species